rnacentral:rRNA from 1 species
UACGUAGGUGGCAAGCGUUGUUCGGAAUUAUUGGGCGUAAAGCGUGCGUAGGUGGUGAGUUAAGUCUGUCGUGAAAGCCCCGGGCUCAACCUGGGAAUGGCGAUGGAUACUGGCUCGCUAGAGUGCGGUAGAGGAGAGUGGAAUUCCCGGUGUAGCAGUGAAAUGCGUAGAGAUCGGGAGGAACAUCAGUUGCGAAGGCGGCUCUCUGGACCAGCACUGACACUGAGGCACGAAAGCGUGGGGAGCAAACAGG